rnacentral:rRNA from 1 species
UACAGAGGGUGCAAGCGUUGUCCGGAAUCACUGGGCGUAAAGGGCGCGUAGGCGGCCUGAUAAGUAGGGGGUGAAAUCCUGGAGCUCAACUCCAGAACUGCCUUUGAUACUGGCGAGCUUGAGUUCGGGAGAGGUGAGUGGAACUGCGAGUGUAGAGGUGAAAUUCGUAGAUAUUCGCAAGAACACCAGUGGCGAAGGCGGUUCUCUGGGCCUUACCUGACGCUGAGGAGCGAAAGCGUGGGGAGCGAACAGG